UUUAAUAAGAUAUAGUUUAUUUCAACAGUAAAUAGGGUGAAUGGAAAUUUACCAGUGUAAGAACAUAUCGAAAUUCUUCAAUUCAAUUUAAUAAUUAUACAAUGUUUAAAUUUCAUCCUGGGAAUAACUAUGAAGGAUUGUUGGAAAUAGUGUUCAUACAGUGUUUUGAGUUAAGUUAUGUGGACAUUCAGGAAAACCAUGAUCAGUGAAGAUAUUUUGCGAACUUGCAUAAUCCUUUAUUCACGGUACUUAAAUUUUCACAUUAAUGAUUUCAAAUUACUUCUGUUAAACUGUAAGUACAAAAAUAUUGUUGCUGUUUUUUCUUUCAAUGUUGCGUUUGUUGGUAGUGAUAUAGGGCAUACAUGUGUAUAUUUGUAGCAUUUUCCAGUACAAACGAAAUCAUGCUCUUGCAAACCAAAUGUUGGAGGUCACGUUUAUCACAGUACACUUAGGUCAAAUUAUAAACGUGAAUGUAUAAAUGUCAAAAUUACAAUUGCCUGCAUUAUCAAAACUUCAUUGACAUGUUUUUCUUUUGGAUUAUUCACAAUAAAAGUAACUGAUGUAAAUCUCACGGGCUAAACUAUUUUAUACAGUAAGGAUCAUUAAUGCACAAGGUCAUCAUUUAUACGCAGAUCUUCUCACACAGAAACGCAUUGCACUGCUUUAAAGUUCUUAAGCUGCAGUUGUUAUUAAUGCGUGUAUGCUAUUGACUUCCAUUAGCUAAAUUUAGUUUUGGCCUACGCUGCAAACAUGCGGAUUUCCAUGUCAUCAGCCAUUGUGCAAUAUUAAAAUGAGUAUCAAUUUUCUAUAUUCAUUAAAUUUUGAAAUCUUUGACAUGCAUUUACAAGAUUCCUGUUAUUUAUAUAUUCGUGCUUUAUGUAAUCUUUAAAUGAAUUAAGCAUAUAUUAGACGGCCUUAAGAGUGAAUGAAAAAGUGUCAGUUCAUAGUUGCUAUAUUUAUUAAAUAUACAUGCUAUACCAUACCAUAAGGGUAUAAAACUAAUUGUCAGUCAAAUGAGAUUUAAGAUUAAACAGUCUGCACUUAGUUGUUUCCUAGUUGUUAAUUCAAGGUUUGUAUUUCAAAUAAAGUGUUGAUCGGCAAUGUAGGUCGCAUCACUGGAAUAACUAUUAAUUCUUUCAAAUGUUAAACGUCCACAUUUUAGUUCACGAUGUUCAAUCUACUUAACGUUACUGAUUUUAUAGAAAGUGAUAUGUAGUAACCAAAAUGAUAACCGUAGGUGUCAGUAUCAGUCAGAUAUGAAGAUUAUUUUUAUAUCUAUUACAAAGAUGUAUUCAAGACUGGAUUCACCCAUGCCACAUACACCUGAACUGUUCAAGUUAUAAGUCAUAUCAAAUGGGUAGGAACCAGCCUUUCAACAUUUCGCGGAAACCGUGUUUAAACAUAUUGAACAAUUUUCGAGAAAUCCCAAAGUUCGUUUUGAGAUUAAAAACAUCCAAAUGAGCGGCAAAGAAUCUUGAGUGUAAAGCACAUUUCUAUAUUUAAUGAGAUGGUCCAUAACGUCAUCUUUGUUACUUGAUAUACCUGCUUCAAAUAUUUAAGUUGAUAAACAGCGUAAAUAAAGCUCCGUUUAUUUUAGUCAACUCUUCAUUUGCGUGAUAAAGUGAAUUCCAAAUAUUGUGUUAUGACAUAAAUUAUACUACUUCAAGGAAUGAAAUACUAUUUGUAACAUAAUAUUUUGAAGUUCCUUUGAACGUAAUAAUCACACUUAUUUAUUAUAAUUACAAUUUCCGAUAAAAAAAAUCGAAACACGAUGUAUAUUUUAUGUCGGGUAUAUUUUAUUUUACCAAACAGUGCAUCUUCUCUGAAAUGGGAAACAUAUGUACCUUGUCGCGUUAUUUUGUAAAUGCUCAAGGGCUGUACAUACUUCAUGCGAUUCAUGGUCUUAAAGAUACUUUAUGUUAUAUAAAUCGGAAUGUAAGCUAGACAGUAACUAAAUCCAGACUGCACGCGAUUACUUAACAAUCACUUCAAAACUAAUAUCGCUGAAUUAUAAGGGGGUGUAUUGCAAUUACGCUUUAUCAUGACAUGAACCUGUAGAGAUCAGGGUAGCAAAACAUGUACAGUCGCAUUGUACUUUUCAAUGGCCUUCAAGCCGUAGUUUGUUUUAUUUUGAUGAACCACAUUUGGCAACAGAGGUUUUUAUGGACAAGUAAGUUGAAAGUUACUUAUCAUAAUGGCAACUCACGAUUAAACUAAACAAACUAUUCAGUCUUAAUGAAUACUACUAUAUAUUCCCUAUUAACGCAAGUUUGUUGUAUAUGUGUCGGGUACGGAGGUUUAUUUCAAGAAUAGGUUGUUUUUUUAAAUCGAGGGUAUUAAAAAAUAAUAAACGUUCAAGUAAAUGCAUGUUUAUAAAGACCUACAUAUAAAUGUUUACGUAUAUAUAAUAAGUUUUACAUACUGACAAAGGAUGAAAAUCAUACUUAUUUCCACUCUGUUCAUUUAGAGGAAAUAUCUUGUCUUUGGAUCAUAUUUUGGAUAUAUCAUCACCUGUAAGAUUCAGUUAUUAUUGUGUGUUUUUCCAGAAAAAAAUAAUGGGCAUGAUUAAAAUCAAUGACAGUCAUGGUGACCAGAAUACUCUCAAUUGAUUUUAAACAUGUGUCGGAGUUGAUUUACGGUCUUCCUUCUUAAACACUAUGGCUAUUUGUAGUUUACAUUGUGCAUUUUGAUAUAAUUUAUGUUUAAUUUAAAGUUUACAAAACAGUAAAGCGGUGACGUUUCGCCCUCUCUUUUCAUUGAUUAGCGACUGCUACUUUUCCAAACAAUGUAUACAAUCUUAACAUUUGCAGGGGUUGGUUUGGGGUCCUCCCCCUUAAAUACAUUUGCUAUUUGAAGUGCCUACUUCAUUUUCAAAAAAUGAAUACAAUCUCAAUACUGCGUAAAAUGAUAGGUUUAUUAAUCGAGCUGCAAUAUUUUGCCGGGAUAUCAUCCAGUCGCGCCAUUAGCAAUACCCGAUCCGCCGUGUUAACAUGUCAGAUACACUGGUUAAAAAGCUGGCUGGAGUAAGUUUAAUAUGGUUGCUUCUCGUCCUGAUUACAGUCCUCUGCAUUGUAUGGACUAUGCCGGACAGUAAGCAAACAAACGCUCAGACUGAGAUUUGUCUGCAAAAUGAUGACAAGAGUGUGCAAUGUGGUGAAACAGCAAGUUUGUUACAUGCAUUGUUUGAAAAGGGAAUUUCGUCUGCAUAUGAUGAAGCUGAGAAACGAGAGAAAAUUCAAACGGAAAAAUAUAUACAUGGUAGGUAAAAUAAUAUAUAUUUUUAAAAGAAAUGCUUAAAUGAACUUGUAAACAAGUACUGGAUAAUAUUAACAAAGGUUAUUUCAUAUUAUUUUUUUAUAUUUUCAUAAAGGGUUUUACUUGAAACGUGACUUGAGUUUUCGCUUUGAUUUAAACAACUGUAUUUUUAAACUGGGCUGGUUGUAAUGCUCUGUUAAGAUUUGCUUUGGUAAAUAAAUAUACCAGGGGCGUAUUUAGGAUUUUGCGUUUGAUGGGACGCGUUUGGGAGGGCAAGUAAGGAAGUUUGUCCCUUUUUAAAAAACAACAACAAAAAUACAGGGCUUAAUGAGUACAAUGGGGCAUAGUAUCAUCAGUAAUAAAACAUUGAGCCGUUUUAAUAGAAAAUAGUGUAUUCAAGUGCAUUUAAGUGCAUUCUUUUCAUAUUGUUUCUCGGAUAUUGACCUACAAACAAACUUGGAACACUUUUAGAGGGGGCUCCGGGUGCGCCCGGUCUAAAUCCGCUAGACUUAGUGUCUUAAACAUGCUCUGAAACACGACGUUCAAUUGAUGACAGACUACAAAAACGCAUUGUGGAACAUGAAGCCAUCUGCAAAACUAGUUGGCACUCGUGCAGAACAGGGACAUGUUUUAGGUAAUACUACAAUGGCAACGGUCACAAGUUGGCGUCACGAUAAAGACCUUUAUUACACAACAGGAUUUCAGAGAUACGGAAUAAGGUUCCAAAAUGGCCGAUUAAUUGUUCCCGUAAGCGGUACUUACUACAUAUACUCGUUCCUGGGACUUACUGACCGACGUCUCACUGACGAAGGAAUUGCUGUAGAACCAAACAAUAUGCACGAAAUAAAACAUGCAAUGCAUAAGUAUAACGUACUUGAUACCGUUGACAUGGAAAUCGCAUCAAAUUUGCAAUCUCGUAAAAACGCUUCGCAUGGGUACUUUUAUUAUUACGCGAGUCAAAUAGCGACGUUGGCGAAGCUUCGUGCAGGUGAUGAAAUAUCAGUGAAGCUAAGUGACGUCACACUUUUGAAGCACACGGGAAAUAACUACUUUGGCUUGCAUCUGAUAUGACAUCUCCGGCACUGGGGCAGCGUCCGCGUCGCGUCGGAGGGAUGGAAGUACCAACAAAUGCCCCACUAUAAGAAAGAAACAAAACACGACAUCAAAAUAAAACAAAUUCAGCAAACAGAAAUGGAACCCAGCAAAACCAAUUGGUCAAGCUUCCAGUCAUUCUAAUUAUCAACAACUAAUCUGUCCUUAUUCCAUAAUAUUAAAAACAACGCCAUGUGAUAUGAUGAUGUUAUCAGUACUACAGUUUGAUGCAAUUCGAGGCAAAGGUUCGGACAUCCAAAUGUGCUUGCUUUUUAUUAUAAAUGUCACUGUUUAAACCCGUUUCUAUUGAUGUCUUCAUUAAAAAAAUUCUGGAUAUUGUUUAUGUGUCACGUGUAACGUGUUUGCUCAACUGGAUGCUUUUAACUUUAUUUCAUAGCUAGCUGCUCUGUGUAUCUUGAAUAUAAUGAGAUUAAAUCUGUUGAGUCAAUAUGUAAUUGUAUGAUCAUGAAAUAAAAUCACAUUUAAAUUAUGA